GCCUGGGUGGCUCAGUCGGUUGAGCAUUCGACUUCCGAUCGGGUCAUGAUCUCAGUUCGUGGGUUCGAUCCCCGCAUCGGGCU